GAGGCACAAGUCUGCAUCCCUGAUAUCAUCAGGCUGGAGGGCUAUUGAGGCCUUAAAGGCUGCAUAGUGAAUUCAAAUUCAGCCUGGACUAUAUCGUGAGUCUGUCAGGAAAGGGGGCAGAGAAUCGGGAAACAACAGCAACUUUUGCUAAGGUCCAAACAGGCCUCAGCUUAGGUUGCAUCUCUGGACCAAGGCAGUGGCCUUCGCCAGCAUCUUCCCUCUCCUGAGAACAGCUGCCAGCCCAUGAAUCCUCAGAGCACAACCUACAUUACAGUAUCUCAGGAACCAAGGAAGAAUGGUCACUGAGACCGUCCCCACACCCACAGUCCUUUGCCGUCCCCUGCAAAUGAUUCCAUGAACUUGUGACUUGACAAGAGUGCCUUUGAGUGCUCAGUGGGGAGACUUGUGCUACGGUGGGAGCCCAGAGCCUUGGAGUGUCUGCUAGUCAGCUGAGGGUUGGGUCAAAACCUCCCAGAGCUAGCACCUGUAUCUUACUAGAGCCCAAAUGACUGCUUUUGCUAUGAAAAUGAAAGCUGUUUCUAUUUUAAUAACGCGAAUAUUAAAAAUGCUUAUUUUAAAAGAGGUUAAAA
rnacentral:lncRNA from 1 species